AGUGAGUCAUCAGUAUUCUUUAGCAUACGGUAGAAAUCACCGCUAUCAGCUUCUAAAUCAUCCUCCAUAUCCUAGUCAAAUUCAGGACCAGCUGCAUCCACAAUCAUGUCUACCAUUCUAUCUGUGUCACUAUCCUAUUGACUUCUAACCCAUGCAAUUGUCUCCCACAUCUCCCCAUGUAGGUACCAAUGCUUGUAGUU
rnacentral:lncRNA from 1 species